rfam:Sulfolobus tokodaii str. 7 DNA, complete genome.
UAAAGUGAUGAAUGACUUCAAUCCUGAUCGGUGAAGAAGUAACCCGAAACUGAGA